GUGAUAUGUGUUUCUUCUAUUUUUUUUUUUAAUUUUUAUUUUGCCUUUGGCUUUGUUUUGUGAUUCAAUCUUUUAAGCUAUUGUUAUUCUGCGCUGGAUAAAACAGUUUCGAAGGCGGACACACUACAUUGUGAAUUAUUUUAAGAUUUUAACACUCUGAAAACAACACUUUUAUUCAUUUGUAAAUCGCACAUUUUCUUGAAGGUUUUAUUUUAAGGUUCUUCCCAAAAUUGUGAGAGAUGGAUUGAUGGGAUAAUUUCUUGAACUGUUAACAGGGCAUAUGUUAUUUGCCUCUCAAUUGGAUCCUAUGAAUUUUUUCACAACAUCAUUUCUUGGUUGCAAUUGAACAAUAUACAGAAGAGGGUUUCAGAAAUAUAAUAGACAAAUCUUGUCCAGAAAUACAUUUGAUAUGCUUAAUCCACAAUUUUGUGAAAAGAUGAUACAUGAGAUGGGCAGAUGAUCUCAAAAUCAAAACCACGCGACCAAAUAUAUUGCACGAACAUGGUGUUGUUCUUCGUGAUCUUGGCCUGGAACCCAUGCUUCACAGAUUUAGGGAAGAAUACAUAGAGCCUACAUAAAUCGAGAUAAUUUUUUCUCUUAAUCAGAAUGAGUUAGAAAAUUAUGACAGAGAUGAAGAACUAAUAUAAUGGUGUGGACUCACUUUGUCAAUUUGAAUUAUAUUUGUAGUUUCCUAUGGUGAAUUUGGUGGAUCAACGCUGGACUCUCACUAUGCUUUUGUUGUUGAUUAUGGACUCGCUAGGGAUGGAGAAGUUGGUUAGUUUCUCAAACAUAGGUCAUUGCUUUGUCGAUUUGCCACUUCUUGUAGCAAGUAUUUUUGUUGAUCUACUUUAAUCAUUCUCUUUAAGGUAUAUGCAAUUAGUCCAAGUUCCGAACAAAUCAGCUCUGCAUGCUUUUGUUAAAAUAUAAUGAGCAAUAUUGUUGCAGACUUGCAUGUGGAUGAUGCACAUAUAGCCUUGAAUAUUUGCUUGGGCUAUGAAUUUUCUGCGGACAACUAUUCUUCCGGGGUGUGAACUAGAGUUCGCGUCUUGGAAAGUGAAGGCUUCCAGAAUGAUUGUAGUAGCUGGUGUGGAGAAUGCAAACGCAAGAAGAAUGAAGAGGCCUCUAACCAUGCAGAUGCCAAUCUUUCUUGUACUGCACAGUUGGUGCAUUCCUCAUUGAGCUCUGUAUUUAAGUUACUGAGCAAAUCAGAGAUACACUAAUGCUGGUUAAGUGAGUUAGUUUUAUGUUCUUACAUUAUCUAAAUAUCAUUAUUUGAUUCUGCUGCACAAUUAGUA